rnacentral:misc_RNA from 1 species
CCAACAGAGUUGCGAGACUCUACCACCAUCGCGAACGUUACCCCUUCGUCGUUGCCUCGGCGGGGCGCCCUCCGGGGCGCAGCCCGCCGGCGGCGCGCCACACACCUCGUUUUCUUAGCGCCUCUCUGAGUUACACAGCGAAAUAAGUAA